GACGAACGCUGGCGGCGUGCCUAAUACAUGCAAGUAGGACGCACAGCCUAUACCGUAGCUUGCUACACCAUAGGCUGUGAGUUGCGAACGGGUGAGUAACGCGUAGGUAACCUGCCUAUUAGAGGGGGAUAACUAUUGGAAACGAUAGCUAAUACCGCAUAACAGUAUGUAACACAUGUUAGAUGCUUGAAAGAUGCAAUUGCAUCGCUAGUAGAUGGACCUGCGUUGUAUUAGCUAGUAGGUAGGGUAAAGGCCUACCUAGGCAACGAUACAUAGCCGACCUGAGAGGGUGAUCGGCCACACUGGGGACUGAGACACGGCCCCAGACUCCUACGGGGAGGCAGCAGUAGGGAAUCUUUCGGCAAAUGGGGGGAAACCCUGACCGAGCAAACGCCGCGUGAGUGAAGA
rnacentral:rRNA from 1 species